UUGGAGGGCAAGUCUGGUGCCAGCAGCCGCGGUAAUUCCAGCUCCAAUAGCGUAUAUUAAAGUUGUUGCAGUUAAAAAGCUCGUAGUUGUAUUUCGGGGCUAGUAGGUUGGUCAUGCCACUGGUAUGUACUGGUCUCACUGAUUCCUCCUUCCUGAUGAGACGUGAUGCCAUUAAUUUGGUGUUGCGAGGAAUCUGGACUGUUACUUUGAAAAAAUUAGAGUGUUUAGAGCAGGCUAACGCUUGAAUACAUUAGCAUGGAAUAAUGAAAUAGGACGUUCGAUCUUAUUUUGUUGGUUUCUAGGAUUGACGUAAUGAUUAAUAGGGAUAGUUGGGGGCAUUAGUAUUCAAUUGUCAGAGGUGAAAUUCUUGGAUUUAUUGAAGACUAACUACUGCGAAAGCAUUUGCCAAGGAUGUUUUCAUUAAUCAAGAACGAAAGUUAGGGGAUCGAAGACGAUCAGAUACCGUCGUAGUCUUAACCAUAAACUAUGCCGACUAGGGAUCGGAUGAUGUUAAUUUUAUAAUGACGCGUUCGGCACCUUACGGGAAACCAAAGUGUUUGGGUUC
rnacentral:rRNA from 1 species